GACGAACGCUGGCGGCGUGCUUAACACAUGCAAGUCGAACGGAAAGGCCCUGCUUUUGUGGGGUGCUCGAGUGGCGAACGGGUGAGUAACACGUGAGUAACCUGCCCUUGACUUUGGGAUAACUUCAGGAAACUGGGGCUAAUACCGGAUAGGAGAUCCUGCUGCAUGGUGGGGGUUGGAAAAUUUCGGCGGUUGGGGAUGGACUCGCGGCUUAUCAGCUUGUUGGUGGGGUAGUGGCUUACCAAGGCUUUGACGGGUAGCCGGCCUGAGAGGGUGACCGGCCACAUUGGGACUGAGAUACGGACCAGACUCCUACGGGAGGCAGCAGUGGGGAAUAUUGCACAAUGGGGGGAAGUCUGAUGCAGCAACGCCGCGUGCGGGAUGACGGCCUUCGGGUUGUAAACCGCUGUCGCCUGUGACGAAGCGUGAGUGACGGUAAUGGGUAAAGAAGCACCGGCUAACUACGUG
rnacentral:rRNA from 1 species